rnacentral:sRNA from 1 species
GUCAAAAGAACGCCGGCUAAAAACGACCCGUCCUGGGUCAACACCGGCAUGACCCAGUUCCU